rnacentral:rRNA from 1 species
AUGAACGCUAGCUACAGGCUUAACGCAUGCAAGUCGAGGGGCAUCAGGAAGAAAGCUUGCUUUCUUUGCUGGCGACCGGCGCACGGGUGAGUAACACGUAUCCAACCUGCCCUUUACUCGGGGAUAGCCUUUCGAAAGAAAGAUUAAUACCCGAUGGCAUAAUGAUUCCGCAUGGUUUCAUUAUUAAAGGAUUCCGGUAAAGGAUGGGGAUGCGUUCCAUUAGGUUGUUGGUGAGGUAACGGCUCACCAAGCCUUCGAUGGAUAGGGGUUCUGAGAGGAAGGUCCCCCACAUUGGAACUGAGACACGGUCCAAACUCCUACGGGAGGCAGCAGUGAGGAAUAUUGGUCAAUGGGCGCUAGCCUGAACCAGCCAAGUAGCGUGAAGGAUGAAGGCUCUAUGGGUCGUAAACUUCUUUUAUAUAAGAAUAAAGUGCAGUAUGUAUACUGUUUUGUAUGUAUUAUAUGAAUAAGGAUCGGCUAACUCCGUGCCAGCAGCCGCGGUAAUACGGAGGAUCCGAGCGUUAUCCGGAUUUAUUGGGUUUAAAGGGAGCGUAGGUGGACUGGUAAGUCAGUUGUGAAAGUUUGCGGCUCAACCGUAAAAUUGCAGUUGAUACUGUCAGUCUUGAGUACAGUAGAGGUGGGCGGAAUUCGUGGUGUAGCGGUGAAAUGCUUAGAUAUCACGAAGAACUCCGAUUGCGAAGGCAGCUCACUGGACUGCAACUGACACUGAUGCUCGAAAGUGUGGGUAUCAAACAGGAUUAGAUACCCUGGUAGUCCACACAGUAAACGAUGAAUACUCGCUGUUUGCGAUAUACAGUAAGCGGCCAAGCGAAAGCAUUAAGUAUUCCACCUGGGGAGUACGCCGGCAACGGUGAAACUCAAAGGAAUUGACGGGGGCCCGCACAAGCGGAGGAACAUGUGGUUUAAUUCGAUGAUACGCGAGGAACCUUACCCGGGCUUAAAUUGCAGUGGAAUGAUGUGGAAACAUGUCAGUGAGCAAUCACCGCUGUGAAGGUGCUGCAUGGUUGUCGUCAGCUCGUGCCGUGAGGUGUCGGCUUAAGUGCCAUAACGAGCGCAACCCUUAUCUUCAGUUACUAACAGGUCAUGCUGAGGACUCUGGAGAGACUGCCGUCGUAAGAUGUGAGGAAGGUGGGGAUGACGUCAAAUCAGCACGGCCCUUACGUCCGGGGCUACACACGUGUUACAAUGGGGGGUACAGAAGGCAGCUAGCGGGUGACCGUAUGCUAAUCCCAAAAUCCUCUCUCAGUUCGGAUCGAAGUCUGCAACCCGACUUCGUGAAGCUGGAUUCGCUAGUAAUCGCGCAUCAGCCACGGCGCGGUGAAUACGUUCCCGGGCCUUGUACACACCGCCCGUCAAGCCAUGAAAGCCGGGGGUACCUGAAGUGCGUAACCGCAAGGAGCGCCCUAGGGUAAAACUGGUGAUUGGGGCU